GACGAACGCUGGCGGCGUGCUUAACACAUGCAAGUCGAACGGAAAGACCCUGCUUUUGUGGGGUGCUCGAGUGGCGAACGGGUGAGUAACACGUGAGUAACCUGCCCUUGACUUUGGGAUAACUUCAGGAAACUGGGGCUAAUACCGGAUAGGAGCUCCUGCUGCCUGGUGGGGGUUGGAAAGUUUCGGCGGUUGGGGAUGGACUCGCGGCUUAUCAGCUUGUUGGUGGGGUAGUGGCUUACCAAGGCUUUGACGGGUAGCCGGCCUGAGAGGGUGACCGGCCACAUUGGGACUGAGAUACGGCCCAGACUCCUACGGGAGGCAGCAGUGGGGAAUAUUGCACAAUGGGCGGAAGCCUGAUGCAGCAACGCCGCGUGCGGGAUGACGGCCUUCGGGUUGUAAACCGCUUUCGCCUGUGACGAAGCGUGAGUGACGGUAAUGGGUAAAGAAGCACCGGCUAACUACGUG
rnacentral:rRNA from 1 species